rnacentral:lncRNA from 1 species
ACCUUUCCCUAGCAGCUGCCACCUCUCAGGCAAAGGAAAGCUGCUGCCUUUACACAUGUUAAUGAAAUCCUUAGCACACAAGAUUCUCUGCACUGUGAAGGACAGACCAUACUUGUAGUCUCUCUGUGAAGUCUGCCCACAGCCUUCUGGACUUAAAGCCUGCUGAUGACUAGGCCAGGUAAUAUAAUACCUGAGACUUCAACGCAUAAGACCAUAGACAGAGGACAAUGAAGAUCUCAAAUAUUUCAUGUUAUGAGAUUUUGUAUUAUGUAAUUUUAUGGAGAUUCCAAGUCAGCCAUCAAUGACUAAAUACUUCAGAAAGACCUAUGACUAGAUGGCUGGAAAAUGUACUGAGUCCACUUUUGGGAUCCCCAGUAAAUGGCAGAUAUGAACAAGGUGAUCAAGAGACUGGAGCAUCCCUUCAACAAAGGAAAGCUGAGAGAGCAAAGUGUUCAUCCUGGAGAAGAGGAGGCUAAGGGCAAUAUCAUCAGUGUCUGUAAAUAACUGAAGGGAGGAUGUAAAGCAGAUAAAGCCAGGCUCUUUUCAGUGGCAUCCAAAGACAGGACAAGAAGCACUGAUCACCAAAUAGAACACGUGCGACUGUUUGAACACCAGGAAAAAGUUUUUCACUGUGAAAAAUUAUCUCAGGAACUGAGCACAGGAAGCACAAGGUGGUGCAAUCUCCCUCCUUCAGGAUAUUAAAAGGUGCCUGGACAUGACCUACCAGCUCUGGUUGUCCUGGCUUGAGCAGGGACUGGACCUGUGAGCUCUUCCAAGCUUAAUCAUUAUGUGAUUUUGUGAACAACUGACACCACAUGUUUCAAAGGACUUCACAUUUCAAGCCUCAAUCUAGGGUCAUUCAGUGUCCUUGGGGAAAGAGACUUUUGCCCAAAAGAACCCCCCUUUUUUUUAAUAUAUAUUUUCUAAGCAUUUACUCCAGUAAUUUAAGCAUGUGCCUAUUUUCUGCAUUACGAAGCAUACCAGGAGUAGAAUAUUUUAUCUGUGUAAUGAGGGCCCAUUUUCUCUAGUUUGGGAACACUGUGGAAAAAAUAGUUGUGAAAGUCCAUGCUAUGUUUUCCAAUGCUGAAAUUUAAAGAAAGAUGUGAUACAACAAUUGUGCCAAUUGUUCAAAUACUUGUCAUCACCCCUGAAAGAGAUAGUUGGUACAUAUCCAAAUCCAUCUAUUUGACUGGCAAUUAGGUUUAGUAGACUGGGUUUUGAAAUGGAUAAAGCAAAUAGCCAUUGUUUAAUUCUAGUUAUGUGAAGGCACAAAAGACCCAUGCCUUUUUUUGUUUUACUUUAUGUUAAAUAGAGAAAAUGCUAGAUGCAUGGUGAAUACUUCUAGAAUUAUCGAACCAUUAUUAUAUGUCCUACUUGUAAUAAUUGAUAACAUAAAUCAUGUAACUGUUUCUUUGACCUGUGACUCCUUCUCAUUAUUUCCCUUUUCAGCUUCCCAUUUUCUACCACAAGCAGCUCUCUCAAUGUUUAAGGCUUUUCACAGUCUAUCUCAAUUUACAGUCCUUCCUGUAUGGAAAGGUUAUCUCAGGACAUUUAUUAGUUAUCCCCUACUUCUGAUUUUUUUCCAGUAGGCAGUAGAAUUGCAAGGUACUUUGAAAAGGUCUGUCAGAUAUUAGUACCAAGUGUAGACUUCAUCUCAUUAAAUUUAUUGCAUGAUUAACACACAAAAUAGUUUACCACUAGAAAUAUUUGUGGUUGCCCAUGAAUGGCGUAUAGUUACAGUAACUGGAGGAGAAUGGAUAGUACUGCAGCUUAUGUAACUUGAUGAAUGUCUUUUAAAUUGUGGAUUUGAAGAGGGGUUUAUACAAGAACCUCCAGAAUAUUAUUUUGUGACCUCACAGUAUAGCUAUUACCUUCAAAGACCAUGAGUGAUCUCUUUUUAAUAUGUAUGUAACAAUAAAUGCAUUUUGGAUUAAUCCUUCUGCUGUCACUCAUUUUUCUUUUUUUUCCUACAAAAUCAAAAGUAUAUUCUUGAUUGAACUAGCUGUGCUUUGUAAAUUAAAAUAUUGCUGUUGGGCUGUGACUGAAAAGGUUACAGCAUCACAGUCAUUUUCACUGCUGACAACUGUUAACCAAGCAGUGAAUACCACUUGAUGACAUUAACUUUGACUCCAGGCAAAGCAAGUUAUUCUCCC